UGCCGGACCUGACUGCUAUCGGAUUGAUACUAAGCCAUGCGAGUCAUUGUAGCAAUACAAGGCAUACGGCUCAGUAACGCGUAGUCAACCUAACCUAUGGACGGGAAUAACCUCGGGAAACUGAGAAUAAUGCCCGAUAGAACAUUAUGCCUGGAAUGGUUUAUGUUCCAAAUGAUUUAUCGCCGUAGGAUGGGACUGCGGCCUAUCAGUUUGUUGGUGAGGUAAUGGCCCACCAAGACUAUUACAGGUACGGGCUCUGAGAGGAGUAGCCCGGAGAUGGGUACUGAGACACGGACCCAGGCCCUAUGGGGCGCAGCAGGCGAGAAAACUUUGCAAUGUGCGAAAGCACGACAAGGUUAAUCCGAGUGGUUUCUGCUAAAGAAACCUUUUGUCAGUCCUAGAAACACUGAUGAAUAAGGGGUGGGCAAGUUCUGGUGUCAGCA
rnacentral:rRNA from 1 species